rnacentral:rRNA from 1 species
AGCGAACGCUGGCGGCAGGCUUAACACAUGCAAGUCGAGCGGCCGUAGCAAUACGGCAGCGGCAGACGGGAGAGUAACACGUGGGAACGUACCCUUCAGUACGGAACAACCAAGGGAAACUUUGGCUAAUACCGUAUACGUCCGUAAGGAGAAAGAUUUAUCGCUGAAGGAUCGGCCCGCGUCUGAUUAGCUAGUUGGUGAGGUAACGGCUCACCAAGGCGACGAUCAGUAGCUGGUCUGAGAGGAUGAUCAGCCUCACUGGGACUGAGACACGGCCCAGACUCCUACGGGAGGCAGCAGUGGGGAAUAUUGGACAAUGGGCGCAAGCUUGAUCCAGCCAUGCCGCGUGGAUGAUGAAGGCCCUAGGGUUGUAAAGUCCUUUUAACGGGGAAGAUAAUGACGGUACCCGUAGAAUAAGCCCCGGCUAACUUCGUGCCAGCCGCCGCAGUAAAAC